rnacentral:lncRNA from 1 species
ACAUGGUAUCCCAGCAACCAAAUGUACAACACAGGAGACAGAUGAAUUUCUCAUUCUUGUAGGCUACCAUUUCUUUUGGCUUAUUACAAAACAACAGGAUGCUGCAGCUUUAUCAAAGUCUACUUAUUUGUCCACUAAAAGUUUAUGGCUAUACGUUUCCAACUAGAACAUCUGAACACCAAUAUAUGGAAUUCUGACAAAGUUAAAACCAGGAAGAGAUCCUAUGAAGGCUGACAUUUUGUACAUCUGUUUUAUAGAACAAUAAAAAUAAGAAGAACAAGAAUAAGAACAGCAACAACAUUUGCAGCCACUGUCUAGACCACAGGAAACCUGGUCAACAACAUAUGGGAUGUCACCAGAUUCAGACUCAGAAGUUUCCAUAAUGCCGUUGCCAACAGCUAGACACAAUGAAGAAACGGCUAUAUAGAGAGAUAAAGAAGCUUGCUCAAGGAUACACAGCCAGAAAGCAAAAGAGUUGGAGUUUGAACUUCGACAGUCUAACUCGAGGUUCUUUCUCUGUGUUUAAUCAGUCAACCACACUGCCUCUUCAGAAGCACGCAUAAUUAGGUGAUCUCCCACCAGAGUGUACCAACAAGUGGAUCGGUCAAGAUAAAUCAUUACAGUGUGUCGAGAAACUAUUAGAACACCUAUUUAAAGGCAGUCUUAAUUUUUCUUAAGUUCUAAAAGCAUAAAUGAAUGUCAAUAUUUAUAUGUGUAAGCUGUUAAAAAUUACAACAAAUACUCUAAUGCUUAUCAACAACCCUGGUAACUAAAACAUCAGCAAUAUUUCUGAGUUUCUCUUCAAAUUCAUCUUCUCUUUUCUGCUGUUUGUCUCUUUCCCAAAGUAUACAUUGGUAAUAAAACUGAAAUUUUGGUCUUCAUUUCUU